rnacentral:rRNA from 1 species
UACGAAGGGUGCAAGCGUUAAUCGGAAUUACUGGGCGUAAAGGGUGCGUAGGCGGUUCGUUAAGUCUGUCGUGAAAUCCCCGGGCUCAACCUGGGAAUGGCGAUGGAUACUGGCGAGCUAGAGUGUGUCAGAGGAUGGUGGAAUUCCCGGUGUAGCGGUGAAAUGCGUAGAGAUCGGGAGGAACAUCAGUGGCGAAGGCGGCCAUCUGGGACAACUCUGACGCUGAAGCACGAAAGCGUGGGGAGCAAACAGG